rnacentral:rRNA from 1 species
GAUGAACGCUGGCGGCGUGCCUAAUACAUGCAAGUCGAGCGAACGGACGAGAAGCUUGCUUCUCUGAUGUUAGCGGCGGACGGGUGUGUAACACGUGGAUAACCUACCUAUAAGACUGGGAUAACUUCGGGAAACCGGAGCUAAUACCGGAUGAUAUUUUGAACCGCAUGGUUCAAAAGUGAAAGACGGUCUUGCUGUCACUUAUAGAUGGAUCCGCGCUGCAUUAGCUAGUUGGUAAGGUAACGGCUUACCAAGGCAACGAUGCAUAGCCGACCUGAGAGGGUGAUCGGCCACACUGGAACUGAGACACGGUCCAGACUCCUACGGGAGGGAGCAGUAGGGAAUCUUCCGCAAUGGGCGAAAGCCUGACGGAGCAACGCCGCGUGAGUGAUGAAGGUCUUCGGAUCGUAAAACUCUGUUAUUAGGGAAGAACAUAUGUGUAAGUAACUGUGCACAUCUUGACGGUACCUAAUCAGAAAGCCACGGCUAACUACGUG